rnacentral:miRNA from 15 species
CUGGGGAGGCUGGGGAGGCUGG